rnacentral:rRNA from 1 species
GAGUUUGAUCCUGGCUCAGGAUGAACGCUGGCGGCGUGCUUAACACAUGCAAGUCGAACGAUGAAGCAGAGCUUGCUCUGUGGAUUAGUGGCGAACGGGUGAGUAACACGUGAGUAACCUGCCCUUGACUCUGGGAUAAGCACUGGAAACGGUGUCUAAUACCGGAUACGAGCUUCAGCCGCAUGGCUAGGAGUUGGAAAGAAUUUUGGUCAAGGAUGGACUCGCGGCCUAUCAGCUAGUUGGUGAGGUAAUGGCCCACCAAGGCGACGACGGGUAGCCGGCCUGAGAGGGUGACCGGCCACACUGGGACUGAGACACGGCCCAGACUCCUACGGGAGGCAGCAGUGGGGAAUAUUGCACAAUGGGCGCAAGCCUGAUGCAGCAACGCCGCGUGAGGGACGACGGCCUUCGGGUUGUAAACCUCUUUUAGUAGGGAAGAAGCGAAAGUGACGGUACCUGCAGAAAAAGCACCGGCUAACUACGUGCCAGCAGCCGCGGUAAUACGUAGGGUGCAAGCGUUAUCCGGAAUUAUUGGGCGUAAAGAGCUCGUAGGCGGUUUGUCGCGUCUGCUGUGAAAACUGGCGCUCAACCCCCAGCCUGCAGUGGGUACGGGCAGACUAGAGUGCGGUAGGGGAGAUUGGAAUUCCUGGUGUAGCGAUGGAAUGC